CCCGAAUGCUUGCAUCUCAUUUGCAAAAUGGAAGGAUGGGAGCCACGGGUCUCUGAGGUUCCCUUGUGCUGUGACAGCCUUAAAGCCACACAGGGUCCCCAGUUUACAGACACGGAGAUAACCACACACCUUUGUGUUUUCCGAGAAUUAUGAGGAUGCCAUGCUGCGAAGUGACACAGAAAACAUGACCACACUGUUGCCAAACUCAAGUGUGAACUCCUGCCCCUCUACAUACUGGCUGCGAGCAGGAAAUACAGAACGACAGCCCCACCUCCUACCCACCAGCAAUAAACAGGAGGAAGUGUGGUUGCAGUGUGAUGACAGUGGCUCGUGGACCAGAAGACUGCGUCUGAGUUAUUUCUCAAUCUCAAAUCUAAAGCUGUGAAGAACAUUUUUCUUGGGUGCUGCCUGGAAUAUGACAGUUCUGGGCAGAAAAGUCCAUUUCCUUGAAAGGAAUUUUGUGCUCAGCUGACCUUGGUAUCCAUCCUCCCAUCUCACCUCACAGCAUCUGUCCACUUCCAGAAGUUGUCUAAAGACCACCCUGGGAUCAAAGCCUUGCCCCUGCUUUCUAGCUGUGACUGUAGUCACUGUGGUGAAAAACAAGAUCAUAAACUCCAGAGAGAUGGCAACCUUUAGUACCAAGAUCUGCGCCAAGACAUCACUGGGGUUUCCGACACUGGGGCUGGGGAGAGCUGACAGCAGAGAAAAUCCAAGCAGCAGUAAAGACACAGGCAGGGAAGAAAGAAGCCACCAGUGUUUGUGAAGUAGCCGCAAACUGUACACAUGCUGUUUCUUCACUGUUCAUCCAACGUGGAUUGAGGUAAACCAUGUGUCACACGACUGACUACUUUUAAUCUUUUAGCAGCCUUGCCGGGGGGACGUUCUAACAGACUCAGAGAGAUUAAGGAACUUGUCCAAGGUCACACAGCAACAAAUUCCAAGAAGUCGAGGCAUAAAAGGCCAGCACAUUAGAAGAAUACACUAAAUGUAAAAUGAGCAGUCUAGGGACCUCCCUGGCGGCCCAGUGGUUAAGACUUCACCUUCCAAGGCAGGGGGGUGCGGGUUCGAUCCCUGGUCAGGGAGCUAAGAUCCCACGUGCCUCGGGGCCAAAAACCCAAAACAUAAAACAGAAGCAGUAUUGUAACAAACUUAAUGAAGACUUUAAAAGUAAAAUAAACCAAAGUGAGCGGUCUCGGAAAGUCCCAUUGUGUGAUGUAGGUUCCAAUGGUGACUACAAUGCCGUGAUGAUAAUCACCGUAAAAAUGGCUACUAUUUAGACAGUGCUUGCUAUGCCCCAGGUGGCACUCAAAGGAUUGCACUUGUGUGAAUUCAUUCAACCCUCACAACAGGCCUAUGGGUAGGGACGAUGAUUAUUAUUCCCAUUUUACAGGUGAAGAAACAGGUCCAAAGAGGUUAAGUAAUCUGUCAAACAGCUGGAAAUAGACACCACCAGAUGUUUAUUCUUGAGAAAAUGCUUUAGGCGCGUCAUAGAAAACCUCCUCAAGUCAGUGUUAAUCCAUGUAACGAACCUUUCCAUGAAGAGGUGACCUGCACUGAAUGCGCCCCCCUCCCAAAUAUAUCCACGUCCAAAUUCUUGCAACCUCUGAAUGAUCUGGAAAAAGGCUCUUUGCGAUGCGAUAAACUUAAGGCCCUUGAGAUGAGACCAUCCUUGAUCACCAGAGUGAACCCUAAACCAAUGAUAAAUGUCUUUGCAAGAGACAGAGGAGGAGGCGGCAACGAGAGGAUGGACAGAGGUGAAGCCCCAGGUCCCAGCAGCCAGGAGCCACCGGCAGUUGGGAAAGGUAAAGUGAAUUCUCCCCUAAAGCCUCCAGAGGGAGCACAGUUCUGGCCUCUAGAACUGACCGAGAAUACAUUUCGGUUGUUUGAAGCCACCUGGUUUGUGGGGGCUCGUCACGGCAGCCUGAGGCAGGCAGCCGGGAAGGUAAGACUCAGCGUCAGGAGUUGAGGCUCGUGUCCAGGCCUGGGUGUCUGGGUGGACGCAGUGGAGGGGAUGGCGCCGAGUGAGUGGCGUGGGCCACCGGGGGAGGCUCACCGUCUGGAAGCUGCAGGAGGAGACUCGCGGUUGAUAUGACGAGCCAGCUUUCCAGCCAGGAGAGCUGUGGGCAGCGCGUGCACUCCCAGUCGUGCACGGAGCUGCCCGUCACAGGGGGUCGUCUUGCCCGCUUGGGAGGUUAUUCCUCCCGAGGUCUGUUUGGAGGUGGAACAGGUGGGGUCUGACGCCAACCCCACUCCCAUGUUCUCCCACUGAAGAAGGCCAGGGCCAGGCAGGCGGCGAGCUCGCAGAAACACUUGCUCACAGAAUCCACGGACACAAGUCGCACGGUAUCUCAUAAAGUGUUUUUCCUUUAAAGUUUUUCGUUCACUGUAGAAUUUUAGCAGAACGUGCCAGGAGGCAGAAAGCAACAACCUUUUUGUUCUCCAUUUCUGGAGCUAGGCGGCUCUUCCCCACCCUUCUCCGCAUGGUCACCUGCAGUAAGAUAGCUGGACAGCGGGGACAGCGCGGAGUUGGACAUGUCACACCUGUGAGCUGUUACUCCAUGUGCUAGAGCCAACCUUGGAAACUGUUCCACGGCCCCCUUAUUCCUGCAGUUUCCACCCCACUGUGUGGACCAGAUGGACCUCGGGGAGCCUGUAGGUGCCACGCACGUGCCUUGUUCACCGUCCAUUGGAAACAACGGCCCUUGUACCACCCUGGCAGUCUCACAGUCAAGAUCCAAAACCUGGGCUGCCCUAAAUUGUAUCAAAAUAUCUCGAAUCAGAGCAGAAAUCUUAGCAUUCUUUCCUCCAAGGCUGAUAGUUAAAAUACUAUUUUCUAACCAGUAUGAUAUGGUGUCCCUGACCAAUCAGAAGAGAUGCUGGCGGUGACCCCAGUUGCAGGGAGGAAAGCGCUGAGUCACUGCCCGGUUGGCCAGCUUCAGGGUUCCCGCUGCCACACACCUAUAAGGGACACAGGGGGCGUCCUCUGGGCUGUUGAAAAGACUCCGCUUACUUUGUGCAAUAGGGAAGAAAGAGAGGAGAGAGAAGUGAACAAAACUGUUUGAGUGAAAUAUCUAAAUAUCAAGUCAUAAGUUAAAGGGAACCUUUCUGGAAGUAAAGGAGUCUUCCGGAAACAAAUUAUCACCUUGCUGGUAACAGUGGCCCUUUCUCCAUGACCACUGUUCCCUGGAGUUCAAUAGGAUACUGUUCUGGCUCUUAAUUUGCUGCCAGACCCUCGGGGGAAGGAAGCCGAUGAGUAAAUCACUGAUUACAGUCCAGUCUAAUAAGUGCUUCUGUGAUGAAAAUCAUGAUAAUAAUAAUAAUGAUAGGUGGUCAGACAGUCUAAAUAUUUUAUAUGGAUCGUCUCACUGAAUAUUCCUAACCACCCACGAAAUAGGGGCUAAUAAUGGCUCCACUCUGCAAAUGAGGAAACCAAGGCAGAACAAAUCACUUGCAGAGUCAAGAUGUCAAUCAAGCAGCCUGGCUCUGACCUGACCCCGCCCCCCCUGCAUCCCUUGGUUAGGCUCCCGGCAAGACAAAACUGUAGUACCAGAUCAGAGUGGAGAUCACAGGAGGCUUCCAGGAGGAGGGGCUGCAGAACAAUAGACUAGAUGUAUUGAAGCUACAGAAGAAAGAUCACCUGCCCCCACCCCGUGUUAAUGAGAAAAGAUACGACUUGCCAUUUGCCUGUUCUAAUUCAAACCUUCCAAUCUGGUGAUUAUCUUUUCAUCUCCAUACAUGGUCUUAGGGCUCACAUUUGCCCAUCACUUUCAGAAGGCAGGUCAGGAAAACCAUUGUUUUUUGGGUAAUUCACACAUGGGAAAUCAAAGUAAGUGAAAAGGAAGAAGCAGAAACACUAAGCCGGGAGUGUGGUGUGUGUGUGUGUGUGUGCGAUCCACGAAGAGGAUUGAGUUGGGGACACGGGGGAGAUGGAAGCAGUUCGUGGAGGGACAUGAAUGGAAAAGGGAGGAAGGAGGAAGGACCACUCUGUCCGAGGGAGCAGACGCUACUUGUAGAUUUUUUUUUUUUUUUUUUUUUUGCGGUAUGCGGGCCUCUCACUGUUGUGGCCUCUCCUGUUGCGGAGCACAGGCUCCGGACGCGCAGGCCCAGAGGCCAUGGCUCACGGGCCCAGCCGCUCCGCGGCAUGUGGGAUCUUCCUGGACUGGGGCAUGAACCCGCGUCCCCUGCAUCGGCAGGCGGACUCUCAACCACUGCGCCACCAGGGAAGCCCUGCUUAUAGAU